UAAUUAUUAAUAUAAUUAUUAUGUUAAUUCUGUCAGGGCUAUUUUGAGGCAUUAGUGUGUCCAGAAACCAACACCAGAUGAGAAGGAUAUUGUGUAAGCAGAUCUCACUAUGGAUGAUCCUGAGGAAUGAAACCAACUGAUUUCUUUUAACUAAUAUAUGUGGUACUCUCAUUGGCGCCUUGCAGUGUUGGGUCCCUUGGUUUAAUACCUGGGGUACUGUCUGCGUGGAGUUUGUCUUCUUCCUGUGUUCACAUGGGUUUCCUCCGGGUGUUCCUGUUUCCUCAAGCAUUCCAAAGACUUACUGGAUUUCUCUCAUUGGGACAUUUCAGAUGCAGCACUUUUCUUUCUCAAGCAAAACCCCUGCCAAGUUCAAGUUCAAGUGUAAUGUCUGAGAAAAGGGAUGAAGGCAACUACAAGGCAAAAGUGAGAGAUUAAUGAAGCCCAUGUCCUAACAUAUGAGGGUAAAACAUACCAGAGCUGCCGGCUGCUUCGAGGUGAUUCCAGAGGGGGCAAAGGCUUGUCAAGGAGCCCUGCUUCCUGGGUGGUGAGCAGACCUGCAGCUAAAACACCAUCACCCUGAGACUCCAGUUGAGAGGCGCUCUGUUCUCAAGCUGAGGUCAUCAAGAGGGCCAUCGAGCCAGGGGUGUCCUCUUCAUUCACAAAACAAACAAAAACAGAGCAAGGGGAAACACACAGAGUGGCAAACUAGCCCUUUUCUCCCAAAGGCUGUUUUAAUAGCACAACUCCUAUAAAUGUGAUUUAUCACAACACAAAGAGACUUCACCAAUGAUGCUAUGCUGUGGAAAUUUUGAAAAGAAGUGAACCAUGUAACCACAUUUACCAGAUAAAGAAAGGCAUAUAACCUCAGAACAGAACUUUGAAAUACAACUGAGAGAAAUGCACAUUGUUUAUAACUCCAGAUUUGUGUUAGGAUUAGGGAUUUGCAUUCAUUAUAAUUUUGUUUAAGCCUUCCUAAAGCAUGGAGGUGAGUGUUUUUGUGAAGUCUAGGCAGGACGACACUCUUGAGAAAGUUUGGUUGAAAAAGUACAGCUGGCAAGUGAAGUACUGAGAGGUACUGCAGGCUUUGGCUCCUCCACAGCCUAAACACACCUGACUUGUAAAUGUUCUUUAUUACACACAUUAAAUAAACUUGCUGUGCUUAUAGUAGACAAUGACUUGUACAACCGUAUUACUACAGUGCUUGCUGAGAUAAAAGGCUUUCCCACUCUAAUAAACUACGUAAUGUCUUCAAAAAAUAUUAUUUCUGACGGGCCAGAGAGUGAACUUCAGUGAUUAAGUGAAAUGUUGUAAGAAAAAAGCAAUCUAAAAAACUCCUGCCAACCUGAAAUGUUAUGAAAUCUCAUUAAUUUCCAAAAUAGAAAAUGUGCUCAUCAGUUAUAUUCUUCAAAAGUAGCACUAAUUGCAGUAAAACACAAAUUCAAGGACACUUAAGGAGUAUAAUCACAGCUCGAGGUUGUAAAUCAUGGCUUUAACAUUUUUCAGGUAAAAUGGUUUCAAUUUUUUCUACUUGGCCACUCUGGUAUUUUUUUGAACUCCUUUAAAAGCUGCACACCCCUUCCUUCUGCAGGAGGAAGACCCUGUACGCACUUCAAGAGCUGCAAAUGCUGUGAAGCCAUUGCAAGGAGACCCAUUUCAAAGAGCUUCCACAUCCUUCCUGUUCUCUAGAACCACCGUUCUAGUGAGCCCACCUGGGGGGAAUAACAUUUUCAGGAUUUCUAGCUGGGCGGCACCGUGGUGCAGUGUUUAGCAUUGCUGCCUCACAGGGCUGUUAGGCCCUGGGUUCAAUUCCAUACCUAUGGUGCUAUUUAUAUAUAUCUAUGGUGGAGUUUGCAUGUUCUCCCCAGGUUCAUGUUUGUAUCUUCCUGGUACCAGGCAAGAAACUGGUGCAAGGCAGGAUACACCUUGGAAAGGAACCUAGUUCAUCACAGGGCACACACACACACACAC